rnacentral:rRNA from 1 species
CAGUCGCCGCGGGAAAACGAAGGGGGCUAGCGUUGUUCGGAAUUACUGGGCGUAAAGCGCACGUAGGCGGAUAUUUAAGUCAGGGGUGAAAUCCCAGAGCUCAACUCUGGAACUGCCUUUGAUACUGGGUAUCUUGAGUAUGGAAGAGGUGAGUGGAAUUCCGAGUGUAGAGGUGAAAUUCGUAGAUAUUCGGAGGAACACCAGUGGCGAAGGCGGCUCACUGGUCCAUUACUGACGCUGAGGUGCGAAAGCGUGGGGAGCAAACAGGAUUAGAUACCCCAGUAGUCCCUGUCUCUUAUAC